UCUCAUCUUGGCUUUUCUUUCUAGCUGUGGGAUAUAUCAUGAUCUGCUUCCAGACUUGCAGUGGGGAAGAAGAUGCUUUUUCCAAGGUUCUUCUCCAUUGAACUAAGCAGAGAAGUGAUUCACUUGCUAGCACCUGAUGACUUCUGGGAGGAAAAGAAAAUUAUUUAA
rnacentral:lncRNA from 1 species